rnacentral:rRNA from 1 species
GGGCUGCGGUAAUUUGACCGUGCGAAGGUAGCAUAAUCAACAGUCUUUUAAUUGAAGACCGGAAUGAACGGCGUUACGAGAAAUAAGCUGUCUUAACCGUAUAUAUUGAACUUUACUUUUAAGUGAAAAGGCUUAAAUGAAAUUAAGUGACGAUAAGACCCUAUAAAACUUAACAUUAUUGUGUGGCUUUGGAGUUAAAGUGUGACUAAAGCUAAAAGAAUGUUGUUUGGUUGGGGCGACCUAGAUAUAAGAAGUAACUGUCUAUAGAUUCAAAUAAUUAUAGUUUGUGUAAUGAACCUCUAGUAGAGAUUAAAAAAUCAAGUUACUUUAGGGAUAACAGCGUAAUUUUUUCAGAGAGUCCUUAUCGAAGAAAAUAGUUGCGACCUCGAUGUUGAAUUAAAGUUUCUUUUAAAUGUAGCAGUUUAAAAAGUAGGUCUGUUCGACCUUCAAAACUU